GAGAGGAUGAUCAGCCACACUGGGACUGAGAUACGGCCCAGACUCCUACGGGAGGCAGCAGUCGAGAGGCUUCGGCAAUGGGGGAAACCCUGACCGAGCGACGCCGCGUGGAGGAUGAAGGCCCCUGGGUUGUAAACUCCUUUUGCUGGGGAAGAAACCCGAUCAGGUGAACAAUCUGGUCGUUUGACGGUACCCGGCGAAUAAGCUCCGGCUAACUCCGUGCCAGCAGCCGCGGUAACACGGGGGGAGCAAGCGUUGUUCGGAAUCACUGGGCGUAAAGGGCGUGUAGGCGGUCAGGUAAGUGGGAUGUGAAAUCCCUCGGCUCACCCGAGGACCUGCAUCCCAAACUGCUUGGCUUGAGUAUGGGAGAGGAUGAGGGAAUUCCUGGUGUAGCGGUGAAAUGCGUAGAUAUCAGGAGGAACACCGGUGGCGAAAGCGCUCAUCUGGCCCAAUACUGACGCUGAGGCGCGAAAGCUAGGGGAGCAAACGGGAUUAGAUACCCCGGUAGUCCUAGCCGUAAACGGUGAUCACUAGGUGUUGGAGGCAUCGACCCCUCCAGUGCCGCAGCUAACGCAUUAAGUGAUCCGCCUGGGGAGUACGGCCGCAAGGUUGAAACUCAAAUGAAUUGACGG
rnacentral:rRNA from 1 species